AGACGGAGGGAUCGUGGGUUGUGGGACCUGCUCGGUGAAGAGCACUCUUUACAUUUCCGAUCGUGGCUGAUGUCCAGGCGGAUUGGGGGCGCUCUGUGUGUGAUCUUAGGCCGCAGCUAUUUCACCACCCCUACACAUGAAGUGCAUUGGACUGAGAGGGCUUCCCAGAUGACUCAGAUGCUUAUCAGGCCAAACACUGGGAGUCAUCCUUGAUUUCUCUUCGAACCUUACAGCAGAUCCUGAUAAAGUCACUUCAGUCGUGUUCGACUCUGUGCGACCCCAUAGACGGCAGCCCACCAGGUUCCCGCGUCCCUGGGAUUCUCCAGGCACAACAGUGGAGUGGGUUGCCAUUUCCUUCUCCAUACAGCAGAUCCUACCGGCUCCAACUUCAAGAUAUGUACUUCUUGUUACCUUCAUCACUUAUAACCUGGUCCAAGCCACUUUCAUCCGGUACCUUAAUUACUGUGAGUGUCCUUACCUUUGACUUCCUGUAGUCCACUUUCAACACAGCAGCCAAAUGAAUAUUUUGGGGGGUGGAGUGGGGGUCUAUGCCUCACAGCUUCCAGCAGCUCGCGAUCUUAGUUCCCUGGCCUGAGAUUGAACCUGGACCCUCGGCAGUGAAAGUCCUAACCAUUGCACCACCAGGAAAUUCCCCACCAAAUGAAUAUUUUAAAGCCCAAGCUAGAUCAUGUCACUUCUCAACACUUGUCAAUGGUGCUCCAUUUCACUGUCUUGAUAAUGGCUUACAAGCCCUUACUUUAUCUAGCCUUCUGCUACUUCUAUAACCACAUUAUCCUACUACUUACCAUCUUCCUCAGUCAAUUCUGUAACUAGCCCCACUGGCCUCUUUGCUCUUUCUCAAACAUGCCAGUAUCUUCUCACCUCACAAACUUGGCAACCUAGAAUCAUCUUAGUCACAAAUAUUCCCAUGGCUUGCUCUCUCACCUCUUUCAGGGCUUUGAUGAACUGUAAUUUCAACAGUCUUACCCACACACACGAAAUCCCUCUCCUUCCCUGCUUUACAUUCUCCAAAGUACUUAUUAUCUAGCAUGUUUUGUCUCUUCUACAACUAGAAUGUAAGUUAUAUGAAGCCAAGAUGCUUGUUUACUGCCAUCAGUAAAUGGUAUAUAGUACUUAGUAAAUACUAUAUUCUAACUAAGGAAUAAAUGCAAGGCAAGGGAGUGCCUAAAACUACUUUCCAGAAAAGAUAUAUCUAGCUUUCAGUUUUAACUUGUUUUCAUGACUAGGGUUCUUUGGUUUUGAGUGUUACGUGAAUCAAGAAAAGGGGUUAAGAUUCCACAGUGCAAAAAAGGUAGCACAAGACAAGUGAAAAUCCACAAACUGAAUGAAUUCAACAGAAGUAGGCCCCAGAGCUAGAGAUUACAAUAAAUACAAGCCUCUAAGGGGAUCCACAGAAGUCAUAGAGAGGGCUUCAAACUUUCUACAGAAUGUUGAAUGAUAGAGAUCAAGCCAAUCUUACUGGUUUUCAAAACUGUCAAGAGACUGGGAUGCUUUAGGCACUGAUGGUAAGAUGAAAUGUAACGCUGUACCAGUUAGUUUAACAAACCUCUGUAACUAGGGAUCCAGCUGUUUGGAAGUUUGUAUUGAUUUAUACCUCACCUAUUCCCAAGGAUGAUACAGUUGAUACCUCUUUUAACAAAAGCAAAUCACUAAAUGUAUGACUUUGUAAUAAAUUUAUAUCAUCCAUUCUCACGCUGUUCAUUUAGUACUUCUCUGUUCUUCCAUUUAAGUCAGACCAAUAUUCCUAAAAUAUCAGCAACUUUAUCACUAAAGUUUCAGGAGGGGC